rnacentral:rRNA from 1 species
AUUGAACGCUGGCGGCAUGUCUUACACAUGCAAGUCGAACGGUAACGCGGGGCAACCUGGCGACGAGUGGCGAACGGGUGAGUAAUACAUCGGAACGUGCCCAGUAGUGGGGGAUAGCCCGGCGAAAGCCGGAUUAAUACCGCAUACGACCUACGGGUGAAAGCGGGGGAUCGCAAGACCUCGCGCUAUUGGAGCGGCCGAUGUCAGAUUAGGUAGUUGGUGGGGUAAAGGCCUACCAAGCCUACGAUCUGUAGCUGGUCUGAGAGGACGACCAGCCACACUGGGACUGAGACACGGCCCAGACUCCUACGGGAGGCAGCAGUGGGGAAUUUUGGACAAUGGGCGCAAGCCUGAUCCAGCCAUGCCGCGUGCGGGAAGAAGGCCUUCGG